GUACACGCUGUGACUAGCAUAUCAAUAAGCGGAGGAAAAGAAACUAACAAGGAUUCCCCUAGUAACGGCGAGUGAAGCGGGAAGAGCUCAAAUUUGAAAUCUUAAAGGGUUUCCCUUUACGAAUUGUAGUUUAAAGAAGUGUUUUCUGUUGAGGUUUUGGUAAAAGUUCUUUGGAAUAGGACAUCAUAGAGGGUGAGAAUCCCGUAUUUGACCUUUACUUUCAACUUUGUGAUACACUUUCAAAGAGUCGGAUUGUUUGGGAAUGCAGUCCAAAAUGGGUGGUAAAUUUCAUCUAAAGCUAAAUAUUGGCGAGAGACCGAUAGCGAACAAGUACCGUGAGGGAAAGAUGAAAAGAACUUUGAAAAGAGAGUUAAACAGUACGUGAAAUUGUCAAAAGGGAAGCGUUUGACACCAGUGUUGUUUUUCUGAAAAUCAAUUAAAGAACUGUUUAUGCUAAGUUGUUUAGACUUUAUCAGCUAUCUGUUUAGCUUUGAGCUUUUCUUUAAUGCACUUUUCAGUUAACAAGUCAACAUCAAUUUCUUUUGCUGUAAAAAAGCUUGAGGAAGGUGGCUUGAGAUUCGUCUUAAGUGUUUAUAGCCUCUUGCCUAUGCAGUCGGAGAGAUUGAGGUCUGCAGCGUAGAUCCUUCGGGGCUAAAUGCAUUUGUGCUAAGUUAUAGCAUUUUAUAGACAACUUGUUGACUAUGAUUUGUCUUGUAGCUUACUCGCUUAUGUUAUUUUACCUACGCUUAGGAUGUUGACGCGCGUGUGUGCGUG
rnacentral:rRNA from 1 species